rnacentral:rRNA from 1 species
CGAAGGGGCGUAGCGUUGCUCGGAAUGACUGGGCGUAAAGGGACGGCGUAGGCGGACAUUUUAGUUCAGACGUGAAAUUACCUGGGCGUCAACCUGGGGGCGUGCGUUUGAUACGGGAUGUCUAGAGUUUGGAAGAGGGUCGUGGAAUUCCCAGUGUAGAGGUGAAAUUCGUAGAUAUUGGGAAGAACACCGGUGGCGAAGGCGGCGACCUGGUCCUUGACUGACGCUGAGGCGCGAAAGCGUGGGGAGCAAACAGGAUU